GAGCCCGUGGCUCAAUGGUAGAGCGUUCGACUCAAAUACCAAUGGUCGCGGGUUCG
rnacentral:tRNA from 1 species